rnacentral:rRNA from 1 species
CAGCAGCCGCGGUAAUACGUAGGGUGCAAGCGUUAAUCGGAAUUACUGGGCGUAAAGCGUGCGCAGGCGGUUAUAUAAGACAGAUGUGAAAUCCCCGGGCUCAACCUGGGAACUGCAUUUGUGACUGUAUAGCUAGAGUACGGCAGAGGGGGAUGGAAUUCCGCGUGUAGCAGUGAAAUGCGUAGAUAUGCGGAGGAACACCGAUGGCGAAGGCAAUCCCCUGGGCCUGUACUGACGCUCAUGCACGAAAGCGUGGGGAGCAAACAGGAUUAGAUACCCCCGUAGUCCCUGUCUCUUAUAA